GGAAUGUCGCGGGAGCCAACGUUUCGACAAGCGGACUUGUCUUCGUCAGACAAGUCCGCUUGUCGAAACGUUGGCUCCCGCGACAUUCC
rnacentral:pre_miRNA from 1 species